GGGGGUGAACGGUUUCGACGACGGCCGUUCAGCCAGGGGAAGCGGGUCGAGGAUGCGUGGUUAUCUCGAUAACGCUCCACGCAAACCAAUAGGUGCCGAUUCCAAGCGCACCGACUUCGCCCUCGCCGCCUGAGCGAGCCUCGAAGUCCGUCAGUCCCGGAUAGCUCUCGACCGGGGUCCUGGCGUCGCCUAGAGAGCCACUGCCCGUAGCCCUCGUCAUCGGGGUUGCGGGGACAUCUAGAUGACUGGGCCCGUCGGCGCGUUGUCAGCGACAGUGCCGGGGCCGAGCAGAACAGCAGCUGACUGCACCCGGAGAAGCCCUGGCUCCACACCGUCGGACGCGGGUUCGAUUCCCGCCACCUCCACCC
rfam:Micrococcales bacterium 73-15 SCNpilot_expt_1000_bf_scaffold_204, whole genome shotgun sequence.